GAAUUUAAGUACUUGUCCUUUAAAAUUAUAUUUUUUGGACUCAAAGUAGUUUCCAAAGUAACCAUUUUAGAUAGCGUGUACCAAAAGAAAAAAAAUGUUCUGUUUGAAUUUCCCGCUAUUGCCGAGUUAGUUCGUUCGCUUAACGUUAGGCAGCGCUUUCGCAAAAGCGAGGGGUAGGUAGACAGAGAGAUUCGGUUCUCCCUCUUUCUUGUUCUAUGAUGUGUUAACGUGCACGUGGCGGUUGUAAAUUAUUAUAACUGAUAAUUAUAUUCUAAAAACGAAAUACGGUGUUGUUCAAAACAUCGAUAUUUCCCUUUCACCGGCUAUCUACAGUAUUCAUCGACUUUUUCUACUUCUGUUUUCUGUGGCAACGAGAAACGAGUAAUGACAUUUGGCGAUUUGGUGUAGUUUGUUUGUUGAUGAUAACGUUCGUUUCGUUGAAUUACCGUUUAUAUAAAAGGGUACGCGAAUGGUGUAAAGACUUUGUGAUACCUGAUAGCGUCUGGAAAUGUAAGGUACAUCGAGAAAUUUUUGUUAAAUUUGUUCACCGAUAGAAUAAAAAAAAUCACUAAUAGAUUAACGAAAUCACCAAAUAGAAGAAAAAAUCACCAAAUGGCUACUUUAUUCUACGAAUUUUUGUUGUAUGGCUUUAAUUGAAGACAUUUUUAUAAGCGAUAUGAACUUCUUUUAUACACUGACAAUUGUUUAUAGAUAAACAGACCACAACUAAAUGAAGUCAUGUACCAUAGUAACCAUUUGUCAAAUAAAGCUGUACUACCUCUACUCGUAUCUAUGGAAUAAGGAACAACAUUAUUAG